rnacentral:lncRNA from 1 species
AGUUUUUCGGGUUGCCAUGGUAACAUAGAUGGAAGACCAUAUAUACAGAACAUUAACGGAGGUGUUUACAGAUUUGGAACAUAUAGGGCAUGUUGUGUGCUAGUGGCAACGAUCAAAACCAUACAAUGAUACAUUUGGAGUGUUCUGUGCUUCCUGAAAAUCUACCCUUGCCUUUUAUAUAGAUCGUAGAUAGACAUGUUUUCCCAUUUAGAGUAUAUCGGGUUGUGCUUUCGUAUCUAGAGGCAAAGAUAAAGAACAUACAUACAAAUCUUGGACGAAGCGUCAGAUCUGGAGCAAAAAUGGUGCGCAUGUUUUCAUAUUUUCUUUGUCUGGAAUUUCUCAGGUACCACUAGAAUAAGUAUUUGUUUCACAUGCCUUCCUAUUUUUAAACGCUCAACAGGGUUACCAUAGGAACAUACUUCUACAUCUGGGCAAUGAAAUAAAUGGAUGACCGACGGUCAGAUGUCACAGUG